rnacentral:ncRNA from 1 species
UUCGCUCGGUUAGCGGACGUCGCGACCCGUUGGGCGCCGGCCGAAUGGCCCGGGUGACGUUCGUCGCGUCGGUCGCGUUUCGGCGUGACCGUUCGCGCCGAGCCCCGGUGCUCAUGGUCGGCUCGCCCGACGGCAAGAACCGUCGACGCGGCCCCGUCGCAGGCGGGGUCCCGUCGGUCGGCGACGUGUUUCGAGCUACUUUCCGACCCGUCUUGAAACACGGACCAAGGAGUCUAACGUGUGCGCGAGUCAACGGUGAUCUUACGAAAAACCACGUUUGGCGCAAUGAAAGUGAACCGUUUACGGUGCGGACGAUGGCCUAGCGACCGAACCCACCGGCGUUCAAAGUCGCGCUGGUCCGCAGUCCGGGGGCGUCUCCGUCAAGUCGGCUUCGGCCGGCUGGGGGCGCACCCUUAGCGCACACGUUGGUACCCGAAAGAUGGUGAACUAUGCCUGGCCAGGAUGAAGUCAGGGGAAACCCUGAUGGAGGUCCGCAGCGAUUCUGACGUGCAAAUCGAUCGUCUGAGCUGGGUAUAGGGGCGAAAGACUAAUCGAACCAUCUAGUAGCUGGUUCCAUCCGAAGUUUCCCUCAGGAUAGCUGGCGCCGAUGUGUCCCGCCCGUUCGCGGGCGUACGGACGCCGGUGGGACUCCGCGCUGUACGGCGCGGUAACAACACGCUCGUAACACGGAGGAUGUCUCAUACGGUAAAGCGAAUGAUUAGAGGACAUUGGGGCCGAAACGACCUCAACCUAUUCUCAAACUAUAAAUGAGUGAGAUCGCCGGCUUUACCUGGUACACCGCGUGAACCGCGUGCGAAGCCGGCGACGGAACCCUAGGCGCUUAGUGGGCCAUUUUUGGUAAGCAGAACUGGCGCUGCGGGAUGAACCGAACGCCGAGUUAAGGCGCCGAAAUCGACGCGUAUUCAGAGACCAUGAAAGGCGUUGGUUGCUGAUGACAGCAGGACGGUGGCCAUGGAAGUCGGAAUCCGCUAAGGAGUGUGUAACAACUCACCUGCCGAAGCAACUAGCUCUGAAAAUGGAUGGCGCUGGAGCGUCGUGCCUAUACUCGGCCGUCGACGGCAUAGUGGGGCCAGUCGUCGCUCGCGGCGGCCGGUCCCGGCAAGCCUCGACGAGUAGG